rnacentral:lncRNA from 10 species
ACAAAAAUUAGCCAGGAGUGGUGGCAGGUGCCUGUAAUCCGAGCUACUUGGGAAGCUGAGGCAGGAAAAUAGCUUGAACCCGGGAGGCGGAGGUUGCAGUGAGCUGAGAUUGAGCCAUUGUAUUCCAGCCUGGGCAACAAAGUGAGAUUCCAUCUCAAAAAAAAAAAAAAAAAAAAAAAAAAGAAAGAAAAAAAAGAAAAAGAAA